rnacentral:rRNA from 1 species
AGAGUUUGAUCCUUGCUCCAGAAUGAACGUUAGCGGCAGGUUUAACACAUGCAAGUCGAGGGGCAGCAUGUCCAGCAAUGGAUGAUGGCGACCGGCGGAAGGGUGCGUAACGCGUGAGCAACAUGCCCUAUACAGGGAGAUACACCAGGGAAACUUGGUCUAAUAUCCCAUAGCAUUCAUUGAAGGCAUCUUUAAUGAAUUAAAGCUUCGGUGGUAUAGGAUUGGCUCGCGUGACAUUAGCCAGAUGGUGAGGUAACGGCUCACCAUAGCAAUGAUGUCUAGGGGUUUUGAGAGGAAGGCCCCCCACACUGGGACUGAGACACGGCCCAGACUCCUACGGGAGGCAGCAGUGAGGAAUAUUGGACAAUGGAUGGAAAUCUGAUCCAGCCAUGCCGCGUGCAGGAAGACGGCCUUAUGGGUUGUAAACUGCUUUUAUACGGGAGCAAUAAGGGUUACGAGUAAUCCGAUGAGAGUACUGUAUGAAUAAGGAUCGGCUAACUCCGUGCCAGCAGCCGCGGUAAUACGGAGGAUCCGAGCGUUAUCCGGAAUUAUUGGGUUUAAAGGGUGCGUAGGCGGCCAUUUAAGUCAGCGGUGAAAUUUUGCAGCUUAACUGUAACAGUGCCGUUGAUACUGUUUGGCUAGGAUUUGGUUGUAGUGUGCGGAAUGUGUGGUGUAGCGGUGAAAUGCUUAGAUAUCACACAGAACACCGAUUGCGAAGGCAGCACACUAAGUCAUUAUUGACGCUGAGGCACGAAAGUGUGGGGAUCAAACAGGAUUAGAUACCCUGGUAGUCCACACUGUAAACGAUGAUAACUCGCUGUCGGCGAUACACAGUCGGGGCCAAGCGAAAGC